ACGAACGCUGGCGGCGUGCUUAACACAUGCAAGUCGAACGGAAAGGCCCCUUUGGGGGUACUCGAGUGGCGACCGGGUGAGUAACACGUGAGUAACCUGCCCUUGACUUCGGGAUAACUUCAGGAAACUGGGGCUAAUACCGGAUAGGAAUCCUUGCUGCAUGGUGGGGGUUGGAAAGCUUCGGCGGUUUUGGAUGGACUCGCGGCUUAUCAGCUUGUUGGUGGGGUAGUGGCUUACCAAGGCUUUGACGGGUAGCCGGCCUGAGAGGGCGACCGGCCACAUUGGGACUGAGAUACGGCCCAGACUCCUACGGGAGGCAGCAGUGGGGAAUAUUGCACAAUGGGCGGAAGCCUGAUGCAGCAACGCCGCGUGCGGGAUGACGGCCUUCGGGUUGUAAACCGCUUUCAGCAGGGGCGAAGCUUGUGGUGACGGUACCUGCAGAAGAAGCACCGGCUAACUACGUG
rnacentral:rRNA from 1 species